rnacentral:rRNA from 1 species
GUCUUUUUGACUUAAAUAUAAAGUAUAACCUGCCCAUUGAUAUUUUUAAAAGGCUGCGGUAUAUUGACCGUACAAAGGUAGCAUAAUCAUUAGUUUUUUAAUUGAGAACUUGUAUGAAUGGUUGAAUGAGAAAUGAACUUUUUUAAUAAAAAAAUUGAAUUUUACAUUUUAAUUAAAAGGUUGAAAUGUAUUUAAAAGACGAGAAGACCCUAUAGAGUUUUAUAAUUUAUAUUUAAUAUUAAAAAAAAUUAAUAGAUAUUUUUAUUUAAAUAAUUAUUUUGUUGGGGUGAUGAUAAAAUUUAACUAACUUUUAUUUUUUUUUUACAUUAAUAUAUGGGAAAUUGAUCCACUAUUAGUGAUUAAAAGAUUAAAUUACCUUAGGGAUAACAGCGUAAUUUUUUUUUUAAGUUCAUAUUAAUAAAAAAUUUUGCGACCUCGAUGUUGGAUUAAGAUUUAAUUUUAGGUGCAGAAGUUUAAAAUUUAAGUCUGUUCGACUUUUAAAUUCUU